CCUCUCGUAGUUUAGUGGUAGAACAAUGGUGCGUAAAGCCAAAGGUCCCGGGUUCGAUUCCCGGCGGGGGUG
rfam:Agrilus planipennis Contig42254, whole genome shotgun sequence.